AAGGAAACUGAGAUCCAGGAGGAGAAAGUGACCUUUCUGGGCCUCAGUUUCCUCCUC
rnacentral:pre_miRNA from 1 species